rnacentral:rRNA from 1 species
AAGCUCGUAGUUGAAUUUCGGGGUUCUACCGUUGGUCGGGCUAACCAGUCUGUACUAGCGUGUAGAAUUCCUACCUUCUGGGGAACCAUCAUGUUAUUAAUUUAGCGUGGUGGGAAACCAGGACCUUUACCUUGAAAAAAUUAGAGUGUUCAAAGCAGGCUUACGUCUAAAUACAUUAGCAUGGAAUAAUAAAAUAGGACGGUGGUCCUGUUUUGUUGGUUUCUGAAUCACCGUAAUGAUUAAUAGGGAUAGUUGGG